AUGUCCUCGGCUCAAGAAAUCUUCCCACCUCGGUGGCCAAAGUCGCUGGCACUGUAAGUACGUGCUGCUUACAAAUUUCACUGCUAAAACCCCUGACCAUGAAGGCUGGGACUGCAGCUCAGUGGUAAAGCGCUUGAUGAGGUGAAUCCCUGGGUUUGAACUGCACCGCCUAGACUGUGGUGGUUUGAGUGAGAAAUGGCCCUCCCGUAGGCUCAGAUGUUAGAAUACUUAAUCCCCUGUGAUGGCACUGUUGAGGUGUGGCCUUGCUGGAGGAAAUGUGUCCCCAGGGCCAUCUUUGAGGUUUCAAAGCCACUGGCAUUCCUAAAUCUUAUUCUGCUUUCUGAUUAAAGAUGUGAGCCCUCAGUUUCCUGCCUCUGUCACCAUGCUCCACCGUUCAGGGAUUCUAACCCUCUGGAGUGGUAAGCUCACACAAACUCUUCUUAUAACGUGCCUUGGACAUGGUGUUUUAUCAU
rnacentral:lncRNA from 1 species